GUGGUCCCCACUUUCUGAUGUAAUAUAUUCCUGAAGACUGUUGUUUUAAAGUGGAUCACCAUAAGGCCCAAUUCUAACUCGGCAGGAGUUUGUGCUUUCAUCUGUUCAGAUCUAGUCGGAAAUGGAAGCUUCUGGAAUUCACCAGGACAAAUGAAGAAGGGCCUCAAGACAACUUUGGACUAGUAGCUGUGAUCAAAGUUAAUCUUUCCUGUAGCAAGUGGAACUUGUGCUAGUCACCAGAGUCCAAUGGCAAAAGAUAAGUCAAGGUGUGUGGCAAUAGCCCAGGAUGAACCAAAGGCCUUGGCAUCUUCUGUGUCUGACCAAACUUUUAAGUGCUCCACAGUGCCUACUUCAGCUGCCUUCAUGGAUUCUGGAAUAGAUUGUUCUCAUCUAGGAAAAGAUCUGGAAAAGGAGAAAACAAGAUAAGAAAUCAAGCAUAGAACAGCAGAGAGAGAGAAGCCCAAAAAGAUGAAGCCGCCGAGGGUUGCUAGGUGUGCUAUGCAAAGUCACUAAGUUCAGAGUGGGUACAUAGAGUUCAGCUCGAGAAGCCAGGACUGCUAAAUCAUGGCCAGAAAUUGCUGCCAGUGGGCUCUUAUGGAACAGGAAUGCUCUUUGGACCCUAGCACUUGAUGAGGACCUGCAUUAUAAUGAGCUGGUGAGUAGAAUUCCUCUUCUGCUGUUUCUGUUAUAUUACAUGAUGCUGCUAUAGAUGUUAGGAACUGGAAUGAAUGGACCCAUUUAAAGACAGGGAG
rnacentral:lncRNA from 1 species